CCUACGGGUGGCAGCAGUGAGGAAUAUUGGUCAAUGGGCGCGAGCCUGAACCAGCCAAGUCGCGUGAGGGAUGAAGGUUCUAUGGAUCGUAAACCUCUUUUAUAAGGGCAUAAAGUGUGGGACGUGUCCUAUUUUGUAUGUACCUUAUUAAUAAUGAUCGGCUAACUCCUUGCCAGCAUCCGCGGUAAUACGGAGUAUCCGAUCUUUAUCCGGAUUUAUUGGGUUUAAAGGGUGCGUAGGCGGCCUUUUAAGUCAGCGGUGAAAGUAUGUGGCUCAACCAUAGAAUUGCGGUGGAAACUGGGGGGCGUGAGUAUGUUUGAGGCAGGCGGAAGGCGUGGUGGAGCGGUGAAAUGCUGAGAGAUCACGCAGAACCCCGAGUGCGAAGGCAGACUGCCAAGCCAUGACUGACGCUGAGGCACGAAAGCGUGGGGAUCAAACAGGAUUAGAUACCCUUGUAGUC
rnacentral:rRNA from 1 species